UCUCCUAACUGAUAAACACUGCAGCCUACCAGGUCAAAAGUAAUGGAUCGCCUUCUACAUCUUCUUCCUGCGCACUGAAACCAUCAAAGUCCUGUUCUUCAGUGUCCGAAUUGAACAGCCUCAAGAUGUCAUCAGCCUCUUCGUUGACGUUCUCACUUGAGCGCACCUGUUCCCCUUAAUCACGCAGCAGUCAAGCCUUUCGAAACCUGUUGGUGAUUUUCCAUGUUGAUGAAGAGUCUCCUGAUUCUGUGGUCAUUAUGACAGAAUGAUCCGACAGAAUGGCGCAUUUCCAGAACAUUUUCACUUAACAAGGCAUCUUGCUCGGCCAGCAUAACUCUGCACUUCAGUCCCUAGAACAACAUCAGGCAUUCACAACCCAAACCUUGGUGGAGAUCAUCCGGACAAUCCGGAACCAUUGCUUGAUGACGACACCCAGCCCAUCCACAGCUCCUCCUGCCAUCUGUCCUAACCUGGUUCCUAAUCAGACCAUCUAUCGAGGAGAAGAUGGAAAUGACGGUGGAGUUUUAGAGGGUGGGGAGGCAAGUGGUGACCGUGGAAUUGUGGAGGAGUCCAGACAGUAAAUCCAGGUGAGCAGCCAGAGUAAUGGUGAGGAGAUUAACGGAGGAAAUCUUGGAACGAGUUCUGACGACAAGAAGGCAGUGGACUGAGAUCCAGGAGCAACUGUGGACUGGAAGCACAAGUUUUCUAUGACACCAGACGCACGGUAGGAGCUGAGCUCCCAGGUGUUCUCCAUCAGCCUCAUCAGGAGAGGAGCAUAAGAACCCAACGCUGCCAACACUCCAGUGCCUGAGUGUUAACCUACAGUGGCUACCUCCAGUCCUGAGCUUCUGUAUCCAGUCUGCUUAUGCAGAGAACCCAGGUCAGCUCUUUGCAAGAGAACUUCACGGAUUAUCUUCUCAGUUGGCUGCAUUCUGAUUUCCAGGCUCCUCAGGCUUCCUG